UAUGUGAUCGUCUCUCGCAUAUCAAUAAGCGGAGGAAAAGAAACUAACAAGGAUUCCCCUAGUAACGGCGAGUGAAGCGGGAAGAGCUCAAAUUUGAAAUCUUAAAGGGUUUCCCUUUACGAAUUGUAGUUUAAAGAAGUGUUUUCUGUUGAGGUUUUGGUAAAAGUUCUUUGGAAUAGGACAUCAUAGAGGGUGAGAAUCCCGUAUUUGACCUUUACUUUCAACUUUGUGAUACACUUUCAAAGAGUCGGAUUGUUUGGGAAUGCAGUCCAAAAUGGGUGGUAAAUUUCAUCUAAAGCUAAAUAUUGGCGAGAGACCGAUAGCGAACAAGUACCGUGAGAGGAAAGAUGAAAAGAACUUUGAAAAGAGAGUUAAACAGUACGUGAAAUUGUCAAAAGGGAAGCGUUUGACACCAGUGUUGUUUUUCUGAAAAUCAAUUAUAGAACUGUUUAUGCUAAGUUGUUUAGACUUUAUCAGCUAUCUGUUUAGUUUUGAGCUUUUCUUUAAUGCACUUUUCAGUUAACAAGUCAACAUCAAUUUCUUUUGCUGUAAAAAAGCUUGAGGAAGGUGGCUUGAGAUUCGUCUUAAGUGUUUAUAGCCUCUUGCCUAUGCAGUCGGAGAGAUUGAGGUCUGCAGCGUAGAUCCUUCGGGGCUAAAUGCAUUUGUGCUAAGUUAUAGCAUUUUAUAGACAACUUGUUGACUAUGAUUUGUCUUGUAGCUUACUCGCUUAUGUUAUUUUACCUACGCUUAGGAUGUUGAUAUCGCGCUCUCACUG
rnacentral:rRNA from 1 species